GAGAUCUAGGGGUGCCAAGUCCCAUGCAAUCUGUUCAGUCAGCCAUUGUUAAUAUUCAAGUGUAUCGUAACAGUUUUGCUCCACGAUUUACCAAUACACCUUAUAACAAAGAUAUUUCACAAAACACAGGAGUUUCCUCAGUUUUUCAAGUUUCUGCGGUUGAUGAUGAUCCAAGGUCACCCUAUAAUGUGGUUCGAUUCUCUAUUGCUGGUAAUGUAGACAGUGGACCGUUUAGUAUCAAUGAUGUAUCUGGAGAAAUCAGGCUAACCAGCAGUAUUGCUAAUCAGGCCAACACCGUCUUUAGGUUAUUGGUAGAGGCUAGAGACCAAGGUCAACCAUCAAGAAGUAGUUUUGCAUUAGUUACAUUCACUGUGGAUAGAAAUAUAUUUGCUCCAGUAUGGUCAGUACCAAAUGUUAAUGCUAACUAUCGAUUAAGCACAACGGUUCCUGAAGAUGUACCAUUUGGUCAAGUUCUAACAACUGUGACUGCUAACGAUGAAGAUAUAGUGGCACCAUAUAAUGAAGUUACCUAUUCAAUAGUUGGUGGCAAUAAUGAUGGCUACUUCCAAAUUAAUAAUAAUGGUCAAAUAAGAAUUCAAAGAUCUUUAUUAUCAGCUCCAUUAACAACU